rnacentral:rRNA from 1 species
GACGAACGCUGGCGGCGUGCUUAACACAUGCAAGUCGAACGGCAAAGCGCCUUCCUUUUUGGUGGGUGUGGAUGAGUGGCGAACGGGUGAGUAACACGUGAGUAACCUGCCUCCUUCUUCUGGAUAACCGCAUGAAAGUGUGGCUAAUACGGGAUAUUCUGGGUCUGUCGCAUGAUGGGUCUGGGAAAGAUAUUGUUUCGGUGGGGGAUGGGCUCGCGGCCUAUCAGCUUGUUGGUGGGGUGAUGGCCUACCAAGGCGGUGACGGGUAGCCGGCCUGAGAGGGUGGACGGUCACACUGGGACUGAGACACGGCCCAGACUCCUACGGGAGGCAGCAGUGGGGAAUAUUGCACAAUGGGCGCAAGCCUGAUGCAGCGACGCCGCGUGAGGGAUGGAGGCCUUCGGGUUGUGAACCUCUUUCGCCAGUGAAGCAGGCCUGCCUCGUUUGUGGGUGGGUUGACGGUAGCUGGAUAAGAAGCGCCGGCUAACUACGUG